CGCCGGCGCGGAGCCCGGCCCCUCGGCCGCACUGGGCGCUGCGCACCGCCAACCACUGCGUCCGCCGCCACCACCGCCGCCACCGCCACCAGAAUGCCGGGAGAGGCGGCCGCGCUGGCGCUGGGCAUGCUGGUGGCUGUGUGCCAUGCCCUGGAGAACACAACGUCAGCGCUGAGCGAUCCCCCAGUGGCAGCAGCCGUGCGGUCACACUUCAAUGAGUGCCCCGACUCCCACCGGCAGUUCUGCUUCCACGGGACGUGCCGCUUCCUGGUGCAGGAGGACAAGCCGGCGUGUGUGUAAGAGAAGAGAGGGGGUGGGGGAGAGGGAUCUGCCCCAUAGGGGGCCCCUCUGCGGGGUGGUUUGGGGGGGGUGGCCCAGGGAUGGGCAGGGGUGACGAGGGAUGACCCAGAGAUGCUCUAAGGUGACGUGGGGUGACAUGAGGAUGCUCUGAGGUGACAUAAGGUGACCCAGGGAUGCUCGGAGGUGACAUGAAGAUGCUUGGAGGUGACAUAGAUGUGACCCAGGGAUACUCUGAGGUGACAUAAAGUGACCUGGAGGUGCUCUGAGGUGACAUAAGGUGACCCAGGAAUGCUCUAUGGUGACUUAAGGCGACCCAGGGAUGCUCUAAGGUGACAUGAGGAUGCAUGGAGGUGACAUAAGGUGACCCAGGGAUGCUCUAAGGUGUCAGAUGUGACCCAGGGAUGCUCUGAGGUGACAUGAAGAUGCUUGGAGAUGACAUAAAGUGACCCUGAGAUGCUCUAAGGUGACACUGGGGUGCAUGGAGGUGAUAUAAAGUGACCCAGGUAUGCUCUGAGGUGGCAUGAAGAUGCUUGGAGGCGACAUAAGGUGACCCAGGGGUGCUCUAUACUCUAUGGUGAUAUAAGGUGACCCCAGGAUGCUCAGAGGUGACAUGAAGAUGCUUGGAGGUGACAUAGAUGUGACCCAGGGAUACUCUGAGGUGACAUAAAGUGACCUGGAGAUGCUCUGAGAUGACUUAAGGCAUCCCAGGGAUGCUCUAAGGUGACAUAAGGAUGCAUGGAGGUGACAUAAGGUGAGCAGGGAUGCUUUAAGGUGACGUGGGGUGACAUGAGGAUGCUCUAUGGUGACAUAAAGUGACCCAGGGAUGCUCUAAGGUGACAUGAAGAUGCUUGGAGGUGACACAGAUGUGACCCAGGGAUGCUCUGAGGUGACAUAAAGUGACCUGGAGAUGCUCUAAGGUGACAUGAGGAUGCUCUGAGGUGACAUAAGGUGACCAGGGAUGCUAUAAGGUGACAUAGAUGUGACCCAGGGAUGCUCUGAGGUGAUAUAAAGUGACACGGAGAUGCUCUAAGGAGAUAAGGGAUUCACCAAGGUGACAUGAAGAUGCUCCAAGAGGAUGUGGGGUGACCCAGAGGUGCUUUGAAGUGACAUAGGUGUGACCUGGAGAUGCUCCAGGGUUACAUGGGGUGACCCAGGGAUGCUCUGAGGUGACGUAAGGUGACCCAGAGGUGCACUAAGGUGACAUAGAUGUGACCCAGGAAUGCUCAGGGGUGACAUAGGGUAACCCAGGGAUGCACCAAGGUGACAUGAGGAUGCUCCAAGAGGAUGUGAGAUGACCCAGAGAUGCUCUGAGGUGACAUAAGUGUGACAUGGAGAUGCUCCGAGGUGACGUGGGGUGACAUGAGGAUGUUCCCAGGUGACAUGGGUGUGACCCAGGGAUGCUCCCAGGUGACGUAAGGUAACAUGAGGAUGCUUGGAGGUGAAACAGGACGACCUAGGGAUGCUCUGGGGUGACAUGGGGUGACACGAGGAUGCUCUGAGGUGACAUGGGGUGACCCAGGGAUGCACCAGGGGGACAUGAAGAUGCUCCAAGAGGAUGUGGGAUGACCCAGGGAUGCUCCGGGGUGACACAGGUGUGACCUGGAGAUGCUUCGAGGUGACAUGAGAAUGCUCUGAGGUGACAUGGAUGUGACCCAAGGAUGCUGUGAGGUGACACAUGGCCAGCCAGGGUUGCUCUGAGAGGACACAGGGUGACACAUGAAGGUUCUAAGGUGACAUGGGGCCAACCAGGGACGCUCCGAGGUGACGCGGGAUGUCAUAAGGAUGCUCUGGGAUGAUGUGGGCGUGACCUAGAAAUGCUGCAAGGUGACAUGAGAAUGCUCCAAGGUGAUAUGGGUGUGACCCAAGGACAUUCUGAGGUGACAUGAGGCCACCCAGGGAUGCUCCAGGGUGACCCAGGGGUGCUCUGAGAGGACACAAGGACAUUCUGAGGUGAUGUGGGGCCACCUAAAUCAUGCCCCAAGGUGACUCAAGGAUGCCCUGAUGUGACGUGAGGCCACCCAGAGAUGCUCUAGGGUGACCCAGGGAUGCCCUGAAGUGAUAUGAAGUGACCCAAGGAUGGUCCAAAGUGACCUGGGGGUGCCCCAAGGACCUGUUGGUGACAAAGGCCGGGUCCAGCAGCUGCUGCCACCCAGGGAAGAGCUACAGAAUCCCUGCCCAUGUGCCUCAGUGCGAUACGUCCCCAUAUUCUGUAGGCUGCUGAAGCCACCUCGUGUGCGUUUGGCCACGCACAGCACCCAAAAUGAGGCUCAAAAGGGCUCAAACUCUUCCCCACCGCUUCCUCACCCCUGCAGGUGUCACUCAGGCUACGUGGGGACGCGCUGUGAGCACGCAGACCUGCUGGCCGUGGUGGCCGCCAACCAGAAGAAGCAGACGAUCACCGCGCUGCUGGUGGUGGCCGUGGUGGCCUCGGCGGUGCUGAUCGCAGCCUGCGUGCUCAUCCACUGCUGCCGGCUGCGGAAGCGCUGCGGGUGCUGCCGGGUGCCGCUGUGCGGGCAGGAGAAACCGUCGGGGCUGCUGAAGGGUGGAGCGUCCUGCUGCCAUACUGAGAGUGUUGUCUGACGGAGCCAACGCAUCCCAGAGGGACACAGACGCCGCUUCUCCCCGUUGGUUUCCCCCUUUUGACCCCUUUGGUUUCCCCCAUUUUUCCCCUUUAUUUUUCCCCCUUUCUUUUUGUCCUCCUUCCCUUUCUGGGGAGCACCAGUGGGGGAAGCACCGCAACGGCUGCAGUGCUCCCAGUUCUCCCAGUGCUCCCAGUCUCUCUGACAAUCCACCUCCCACCACCACAGCCCAGAGUGCUGGAAAUGGGGGAAAACACCCCAAAAUCCCCCCUGCAGCCGGCUCCUGGGAAGCAUCACUGGUGCUGGUUGGGCUUUUUGUUUUCUCAAACACUUCUAUUUUUUUCCUCCUCCUCCUUUUUUUUCCCCCUUUUUUUUCCCUGUCUUUAUCUUUUCCUUUUUUUCUCCCUUCUUUUUUUCCUUUUUGCCCUCUUUGUUCCCUUUUUCCCUUCUCUUUCUUUUUUCCUUCCUUCCUCCCCUCUCCCCCCUUCCUUUUCUCCCCUCUC